rnacentral:rRNA from 1 species
UACGUAGGGGGCCAGCGUUGUCCGGAAUCAUUGGGCGUAAAGCGCGCGUAGGCGGUCAGGUAAGUCCGGUGUGAAAGUCAAAGGCUCAACCUUUGAAUGCCGCUGGAAACUGCCUGACUUGAGUCCGGUAGGGGCGAGUGGAAUUCCUGGUGUAGCGGUGAAAUGCGCAGAUAUCAGGAAGAACACCAACGGCGAAGGCAGCUCGCUGGGACGGAACUGACGCUGGAGGCGACGAAAGCGUGGGGAGCGA